rnacentral:lncRNA from 1 species
CUCACAACACAAGUUAUAAUAAGCACCUUAAAUACACACUUAAUGUUAUUCUUAACCAUUCAAUUUAUUUUCAACUUAACUAACUAGUCAUAAGCAAAAGAGAAACAAAGUUUACCAUUGAGCUCUAGGGAUGCCAAGACAUCUACCUAAUUACUCUCAACUGCUCCAUUCGUUUUGUUACCCAUAAAUCUUUUUCGCUCUCUUUUUCUCAAUUUUUUCGUUGCUUCAAAUUUCUCCCUCCUUUUUUCUUUUUUCUUUUUGUUCCCAAUAGAAGCGAAAGACAGAGACAUUCUAACUUUUUUAUGGCCCCUAGAAGCUCUCCUCUAGACUCAUCUUUUCAGUUUCCUUUUC